AAUAAAUAAAAUAACUAAAAAAGGAAGAACAUCCCUCUUCUCAUAUGGCUAUAUUUAUGAAGAUGCUAAUUAAAUAGCUAGGUACAUUAUUAUGUCUUUUAAGACAGAUGCAUAGCACAAACUUUACUGUCAGAAGCAUUCUUUUACAAAUCUGGAUAUGGAUCUGUCUUUUUAAAAAUAAAAAAGAUCCAAUAAAAAAUUGUUGAAAAGAAUUUUGCAAAAUCACCACCGAUUAGCAAAUUCAGAUGCAGAUAUUACAAAUGAGAGAACAAUUAAACGUUCGAAUUAAAUAUAUACUUUUCUUUGAUGCCAAAAUGCUUUCUAAUGGUUCAUGGCAAUCUUUCUUCAAUACAUCCAAUUAGUAUGAUAAUCAUGAGCUCACAAAUAUAUUUUAUUCAAAAUAGAAACCAAAUAUUUACAAACCUCACGAAUCUCCAAUGUGGGCA
rnacentral:misc_RNA from 1 species